AUACGUAGGGUGCGAGCGUUGUCCGGAAUUACUGGGCGUAAAGAGCUCGUAGGUGGUUUGUCGCGUCGUCUGUGAAAUUCCGGGGCUUAACUCCGGGCGUGCAGGCGAUACGGGCAUAACUUGAGUACUGUAGGGGAGACUGGAAUUUCUGGUGUAGCGGUGAAAUGGGCAGAUAUCAGGAGGAACACCGGUGGCGAAGGCGGGUCUCUGGGCAGUAACUGACGCUGAGGGGCGAAAGCAUGGGUAGCGAACAGGAUUAGAUACCCUGGUAGUCCAUGCCGUAAACAGUGGGCGCUAGGGGUAGGGGGCUUCCACGCCUUCUGUGCCGUAGCUAACGCAUUAAGCGCCCCGCCUGGGGAGUACGGCCGCAAGGCUAAAACUCAAAUGAAUUGACGGGG
rnacentral:rRNA from 1 species